rnacentral:rRNA from 1 species
AUGGGCCGAAAAGGGUAGACCUCCCACCCUUGUGUAUUAUUACUUUGUUGCUUUGGCGAGCUGCUCUUCGGGGCCUUGUAUGCUCGCCAGAGAAUAUCAAAACUCUUUUUAUUAAUGUCGUCUGAGUACUAUAUAAUAGUUAAAACUUUCAACAACGGAUCUCUUGGUUCUGGCAUCGAUGAAGAACGCAGCGAAAUGCGAUAAGUAAUGUGAAUUGCAGAAUUCAGUGAAUCAUCGAAUCUUUGAACGCACAUUGCGCCCCUUGGUAUUCCGGGGGGCAUGCCUGUUCGAGCGUCAUUUCAACCCUCAAGCUCAGCUUGGUAUUGAGUCCAUGUCAGUAAUGGCAGGCUCUAAAAUCAGUGGCGGCGCCGCUGGGUCCUGAACGUAGUAAUAUCUCUCGUUACAGGUUCUCGGUGUGCUUCUGCCAAAACCCAAAUUUUCUAUGGUUGACCUCGGAUCAGGUAGGGAUACCCGCUGAACUUAAGCAUAUCAAUAAGCGGAGGAA